rnacentral:rRNA from 1 species
AUUGAACGCUGGCGGCAGGCCUAACACAUGCAAGUCGAGCGGAUGAAGGGAGCUUGCUCCUGGAUUCAGCGGCGGACGGGUGAGUAAUGCCUAGGAAUCUGCUUGGUAGUGGGGGAUAACGUCCGGAAACGGGCGCUAAUACCGCAUACGUCCUGAGGGUGAAAGUGGGGGAUCUUCGGACCUCACGCUAUCAGCUGAGCCUAGGUCGGAUUCGCUAGUUGGUGGGGUAAAGGCCUACCAAGGCGACGAUCCGUAACUGGUCUGAGAGGAUGAUCAGUCACACUGGAACUGAGACACGGUCCAGACUCCUAGGGGAGGCAGCAGUGGGGAAUAUUGGACAAUGGGCGAAAGCCUGAUCCAGCCAUGCCGCGUGUGUGAAGAAGGUCUUCGGAUUGUAAAGCACUUUAAGUUGGGAGGAAGGGCAGUAAGUUAAUACCUCGCUGUUUUGACGUUACCAACAGAAUAAGCACCGGCUAACUUCGUG